rnacentral:rRNA from 1 species
AUUGAACGCUGGCGGCAUGCUUUACACAUGCAAGUCGAACGGUAACAGGCCGCAAGGUGCUGACGAGUGGCGAACGGGUGAGUAAUGCAUCGGAACGUGCCCAGUCGUGGGGGAUAACGCAGCGAAAGCUGUGCUAAUACCGCAUACGAUCUAUGGAUGAAAGCGGGGGACCGUAAGGCCUCGCGCGAUUGGAGCGGCCGAUGUCAGAUUAGGUAGUAGGUGGGGUAAAGGCUCACCAAGCCAACGAUCUGUAGCUGGUCUGAGAGGACGACCAGCCACACUGGGACUGAGACACGGCCCAGACUCCUACGGGAGGCAGCAGUGGGGAAUUUUGGACAAUGGGCGCAAGCCUGAUCCAGCAAUGCCGCGUGCAGGAAGAAGGCCUUCGGGUUGUAAACUGCUUUUGUACGGAACGAAACGGCGAGCUCUAAUACAGUUUGCUAAUGACGGUACCGUAAGAAUAAGCACCGGCUAACUACGUGCCAGCAGCCGCGGUAAAAC